UACAGAGGGGUGCGAGCGUUGUUCGGAAUUAUUGGGCGUAAAGGGCGCGUAGGCGGUGCGGUAAGUCACCUGUGAAAUCUCCUGGCUCAACUGGGAGCUUGCAGGCGAAACUGCCGUGCUGGAGUGUGGGAGAGGUGAGUGGAAUUCCCCGGUGUAGCGGUGAAAAUGCGUAGAUAUCGGGGAGGAACACCUGUGGCGAAAGCGGCU
rnacentral:rRNA from 1 species